AUGGCGUUCUCCUCCCUCUCCACCCCUUCCUCCUCCUCCCCCUCCUCGUCUUUCACCCUCCCCACCAAGCCCUCCCCGGGCGCAGGCUCCCUCUCCUUCUCCAAGGCGUCCACGGGGAGGUUCAGGAUGGCGGCGGUGAGGGCGGAGGCGGUGGACACGUCCAUCAGCCCGCGGGUGAGCGCGCUGCGGCCGUCCAAGACCAUGGCCAUCACCGACAUGGCCAGCGCGCUGCGGCAGGCCGGGGUGCCCGUCAUUGGACUCGCCGCUGGGGAGCCCGACUUCGACACGCCGGCGGUGAUCGCCGAGGCUGGGAUAAAUGCAAUCAGGGAUGGGUCUACAAGGUACACACCUAAUGCAGGGACUAUGGAGCUGAGGAAAGCUAUCUGCAACAAGCUUCAAGAGGAGAAUGGUCUAACCUACAGCCCAGAUCAGGUGCUAGUGAGCAAUGGAGCUAAGCAGUGCAUUACACAAGCUGUUCUUGCUGUUUGCUCACCUGGUGAUGAGGUUUUGAUACCAGCACCAUUUUGGGUCAGCUAUCCUGAAAUGGCUAGGUUGGCUGGUGCAACACCAGUGAUCCUCCCGACAAGCAUAUCAGACAAUUUCCUGCUGAAGCCAGAGUCACUUGCCUCAGUGAUCACUGAGAAAUCAAGGCUCUUGAUUCUAUGCUCUCCAUCUAAUCCAACAGGCUCUGUGUAUCCCAAGGAGCUGCUUGAGGAGAUUGCUGCUAUAGUCAAGAAGUAUCCUAGGCUCCUGGUUCUAUCUGAUGAGAUCUAUGAGCAUAUUAUCUAUCAUCCUGCUAAACACACAAGCUUUGCUGCAUUACCUGGAAUGUAUGACAGGACAUUAACUGUAAAUGGGUUUUCUAAGGCUUUUGCUAUGACUGGCUGGCGACUUGGAUACUUAGCUGCCCCUAAACAUUUUGUCUCAGCUUGUGGAAAGAUCCAAAGCCAGUACACAUCUGGUGCCAGUAGUAUAUCGCAGAAGGCAGGGCUUGCAGCCUUGAACCUUGGUUAUGCCGGCGGUGAAGCAGUUUCAACCAUGGUCAAAGCAUUCCAGGAGCGCCGGGAUUACCUUGUAAGAAGUUUCAGGGAACUGCCAGGAGUAAAAAUAUCAGAACCUCAGGGUGCUUUCUAUUUGUUCCUCGACUUCAGCUCCUACUACGGAUCCGAGGUAGAGGGUUUUGGCACUAUCAAGGACUCUGAGACCCUCUGCAUGUUCCUGCUAGAGAAAGCACAGGUCGCGCUUGUCCCCGGAGAUGCAUUUGGUGAUGACAAGGGUGUUCGUAUCUCCUACGCUGCCGCACUGUCAACGCUACAAUCUGCCAUGGAGAAGAUAAAAGACGCAAUGUCUCUGCUCAAGGCCCCUGCUGCGGUUCAAUAA
rnacentral:rRNA from 1 species